rnacentral:rRNA from 1 species
CCUACGGGUGGCUGCAGUGGGGAAUAUUGGACAAUGGGCGAAAGCCUGAUCCAGCCAUGCCGCGUGUGUGAAGAAGGCCUUCGGGUUGUAAAGCACUUUCAGUGGGGAAGAAAGCCUUGGGGCUAAUACCCUCGAGGAAGGACAUCACCCACAGAAGAAGCACCGGCUAACUCCGUGCCAGCAGCCGCGGUAAUACGGAGGGUGCGAGCGUUAAUCGGAAUUACUGGGCGUAAAGCGCGCGUAGGCGGUCUGAUAAGCCGGUUGUGAAAGCCCCGGGCUCAACCUGGGAACGGCAUCCGGAACUGUCAGGCUAGAGUGCAGGAGAGGAAGGUAGAAUUCCCGGUGUAGCGGUGAAAUGCGUAGAGAUCGGGAGGAAUACCAGUGGCGAAGGCGGCGUUCUGGACUGACACUGACGCUGAGGUGCGAAAGCGUGGGUAGCAAACAGGAUUAGAUACCCCAGUAGUC